UAUUUUGUUUUCAUUACUCAAAUAUUGGCCAAUAUUGACAUUUUUACAUAUUGGUACGCAUGCGUAACUUUAUCGCUUGUUCAUAAAGAAGCACUGUGAACAUCAAAGGACAAAACUAUAGUCUUGUCCUUUGAUGUUCACAGUACUUCUAAUAAAACAUUUACAGAUUGAAUCACGAGAAGAAGUGGUUGUAAUUUAUUUAAAAACAGAUUGUAUCACGAGAAGAAGUGGUAAAAGUGAAGAAAUCCUUUUAAUUGAAAAUUUAGAGAUUGUAUCACGAGAAGAAGUGGUUGUAAUUUAUUUAAAACAGAUUGAAUCAUGAGAAGAAGUGGUUGUAGUUCAUUUAGAAACAGAUUGUAUCACGAGAAAAAGUGGAAAAUUAUUUCUGCACUAUAAGACAAAGGUUGAAAUAGUAAUGAAAAAAUCAAUAACUUCAACUCGAUCUGCUUAAUCACAUUAUAUUAAAAGACAGUUAUAAAACUGCUGUAGAACGAAUGGAAACAUUAGAGUUCACAUCAAGCGUUGAAACAGCUGCUGAUGGUAAUGAAAAAUUGUCCAUGCCACCAGCUAAAAAGUUAGCAGUUUGCAAAACAAGUGACACUGAGGAGACAUAUCCAUCAGUUUCCCCAAGAUUGAAGAAAUCUUUUAAUUGCCAAAAUAUUUUACAAUCCACAACUGUUCGAGAUAUUGAGCUAUUUAGUUCGAAUCGUUCUCUACCGAUAUUUUCCUCUUCUGACCAUACCUGGCAACUGUUUUGGCUGCUUUAGGCACCCGAUUUGCUGCAUUUGAGAAGAAAAGUUUAGAGCUGCUUGUCAGUAUUCAAUACAAUUUGAAAAAGUUAAACACUCGCCUAAUCAAUUUAGAAAAAGGUUUAGUGUUUCCUUCUGUUAGCAAUCAGAGCAUAGCUGGACCAUCCCCAUCAGUUAAAUGGAAUUAUUUGCCUGUUAAAGAGGAAAAAGAUUUUCUAGACCUGGAUGAAAAAUUACGAAACACCUAUGAUGAACUUCCUUGCAUCGGUUGGAGGCGACGAUUACAAGCAACUUACCACGGCUAUCUUAAAACAACUAAUGGCUAAAAAAGUAUGCUUAUUAUACUCUAUGUAUGGCAAUAAACAAAAGAAAUUAUUUUCGUCUCUUACGUCCUGCAAGGUGGUUAUAGAUGCCAUAAAAAAAAAGUUUGAAAACGCUAAUGACAAAAGCAUUAAAGAAAGAAAGAAUCGGCAGCUUUCUGGCAACGGCCAUUGAUAGAGAAGGCAGAAGAAAGAAUAGAACCGCAAUUAAGCAAAGCCCACUAUUGAGGGAUAGUGAGAGUGUAAUGCUGUAAUA
rnacentral:misc_RNA from 1 species